GGAAAUUAACAAAACAUUAAGUGACAAUUAGAGAAUGGGCCAACAAUGGUUCGAAUUACAUUGCUGGUUGCGCUGUGAGACAAUGUCUCUGAAUGCGUAUCAAAAAGUGAGAACAAUCCAAAAUAAAUCCGAUAUACGAUUCAAAACGAUUUUUUGGACAUGUCUAAUAUACGGUAUAUUGAACUGUAUGGUUUCACACUUAGGUGGCAGGAGAGGUUGUGCAAUAGCCAUUCGGAUGUGGAAGGAUGGGUGCUUUGUCAUUCUAUAGAUAUAAUGUGCAUUAGGGGUGGCAUUUAAUUUCGUUGCACGGUGAUGUUCAAUGAUAAUUCUGUGGCACAUGCUGCUUCCUUCGCCCCGAAAUGCCCCACUUGGGGUGGGCGCAGCACAUGAAUCCAGGCCACGGCACAGCGGGUGGGAGAAGCCAUGUGUCAUCUGUCGAGGGGACGCCGGAGACACCAAAAUGUACGGCGAGGCGCAAGAGAAGAGGUCCUUCCAGCUGCUGUUGGGACCGGCGGAGAGUCCCCGGGGCUCGGGAUGCAGAUGAGAAAAGGCCUGGAAGGAAGAGAUGGAUGGAUGGCUGUUUUCUUUGCCCAGGCCUCCUCCUCCUCCUCCUCCUCUUCCUCCUCCUCUUGGAUUAUUUAAAAGGCAGGUCAGGUUUCUCAAUCUGGCAGGCGUGCAAAAUACUGAGGGGGCUGGUGGUGGAGGGGAAGGAGGAGGAGGAGGAGGAGAAGACGAGAGCGGCUACGGCUCUCAAAAUAGAAACAAGCCCUCCCUCCCUCUUGCACAGUGCUUUUUCUUCCCUCCAUCCCUCUCCCGACUUUCCCUUGGCUUCCCGAAUUGGGCCCUGUUCCCGUCUCCGGUUUCUCUCAACAUGGAUCUCCAACAUGGAUUGGGCAUUCUGGACCGGAUUGCGUGUGCAUGCAUAUACGAGGGUUGAACGAAAAGUAAUGCCUCCACCUUCGUUCCUUGGGUCUGGAUAGGAAUAUUUUAAUAAAUCAAACGCAGAAAUAAUCCUUAGAAUGUGCUCUUUAGCUACCACUAUUCGCUUUUCCACAUUAUCACCAGACAAUUGGAUACAUUUCUGCCAACAAUGAAGCCAUCGCGGAAGAAGUCGACACUCUGUUUCCGCAACCGGCGUCUCACAGGACCCAUCGUGCACCAAUCUUCCGACAGCCAAGCAAAGCAAUCAUGUGAUCCACACGUUCUUGUGAAAUGCCGAUUAUGCUUGAAAUUUCUUUCUGAGUGAUACGACGAUCGUUCUGAAUCAAUCUGUCAACCUUUUGCUUGUGACACUCAGCGGUUGCUGUCACAGGACGUCCAACUCUUUGUUUGUUACGCAAGUCAGAUGUUCCCACUUCAACAUCUUUAAACUUACUCGCCCAACGACGCACAGGACUCACAUCAACACAAUCACCAUAAACAGCUUGUAUUCUCUGAGAAAUCUCCUUUGGGGUGACACCUUCUUGGUCAAGAAUUCAACUGCAUGUUGCUUAAGUUGCAUCUGCGGAGGGUUCCAUACUUCACCCUUUAACAACACAACCGUUCAAUGCUAAUGCUAAUCAGGUUCAUUACAGUUGUGUUUACGGCUAGUUGCAACAAGUCCUGUUAUUAUUGUUGUUAUUAUAUAUAUUGCAAAGGACAUCAAUUCUGCAAUGGAAGAUGCACUCGGUAAUAUCUCCUUUCUGCAUCCCUACACCUUUUGCAAAACGCAACCAGGUUCCUUACGGUUGAGUUUACGGCUAGUUGCAACUAGGCCUGUUAUUAUUAUUGUUGUUAUUAUAUAUAUUGCAAACUAUAUUUAUUCUGCAAUGGAAGGUGCACUCAAUAGGAUCUCCUUUUUGCAUCCCUACACUUUUUGCAAAACGCAAUCAGAUUCCUUACGGUUGAGUUUACGGCUAGUUGCAACUAGGCCUGUUAUCAUUAUUGUUGUUAUUAUAUAUAUUACAAACUAUUAUUGUAUAUAGAAUAUAUAUAGAAUAUAUAUUACAAUAUAUUAUUAUUAUUGUUGUUGUUGUUAUAUAUCAAUUCUGCAAUGGAAGAUGCACUCAAUAGGAUCUCCUUUUUGCAUCCCUACACUUUUUGCAAAACGCAAUCAGAUUCCUUACGGUUGAGUUUACGGCUAGUUGCAACUAGGCCUGUUAUCGUUAUUGUUGUUAUUAUAUAUAUUACAAACUAUUAUUGUAUAUAGAAUAUAUAUAGAAUAUAUAUUACAAUAUAUUAUUAUUGUUGUUGUUGUUGUUAUAUAUCAAUUCUGCAAUGGAAGAUGCACUCAAUAACAUCUCCUUUCUGUAUCCCUACACCUUUUGCAAAACGCAACCAGGUUCCUUACGGUUGAGUUUACGGCUAGUUGCAACUAGGCCUGUUAUUAUUAUUGUUGUUAUUAUAUAUAUUGCAAACUAUAUUUAUUCUGCAAUGGAAGGUGCACUCAAUAGGAUCUCCUUUUUGCAUCCCUACACUUUUUGCAAAACGCAAUCAGAUUCCUUACGGUUGAGUUUACGGCUAGUUGCAACUAGGCCUGUUAUCAUUAUUGUUGUUAUUAUAUAUAUUACAAACUAUUAUUGUAUAUAGAAUAUAUAUAGAAUAUAUAUUACAAUAUAUUAUUAUUAUUGUUGUUGUUGUUAUAUAUCAAUUCUGCAAUGGAAGAUGCACUCAAUAACAUCUCCUUUCUGUAUCCCUACACCUUUUGCAAAACGCAAUCAGAUUCCUUAUGGUUGAGUUAAUGGUUAGUUGCAACUAGGCCUGUUAUUAUUAUUGUUGUUAUUAUAUAUAUAUUGCAAACUACAUUGAUUCUGCAAUGGAAGAUGCACUCAAUAAUAUCUCUUUCUGGUCAAAUCCACUGCCCUCGGCAGCCGGAAACAAAACAAAAUCCCAUUUUGCGGCUGUAAAAUCUCCCAGCGGGGGGUUCCAACCAUCCAUCCAUCCAUCCAUCCAUCACUGGUUUGGCCAGCACUUGCCCAAGAUAGACUGCACUGCAGAUGACUCAGGAUCCCAGCUGUCGCCACGGCAACCGGCGUCGCCUAGCAAUGCCUGCCUCCCGGCCAAGAGGUGGUUUCGGAGGUUCAUCCAAAGCGCAACCGGAAGCAUCAAGGGAGAAAUGGCGACGCGAGCCUUGAUACUAUAUUGGAGGAGGAAUCUCAGGGCAAGAGCGCUGCCUUGCUAAAUGUGCGCAUGCGCAGGUCUCUACAUAUCUAUCCAUCCAUCAAAACAUACAUUGAUCUAAAUCAGGCAAUGUGGGCCUUCCAGGUGUUUUGUACUUCAACUUCCACCAUUCCUAACAGCCGGGGGAGGGUGGACCAAGGAUGAUGGGAUUUACAGUACUACCCGAUUCGGCUCCCACAGACCAUUGCGACCCCCACGAAUAACGGACCUGGACCAUACUUGGCACACAAAACCUCCAAGACACACUUCACAUCCUGGUGCAGUUUAGGGAAGGAUGGACCAAGGAUGAUGGGAUUUAUAGUACCUUCACCUGAUUCGUCUCCCACAGACCAUUGCGACCCCCACAAAUAACGGACCUGAACCAUACUUGGCACACAGAACCUCCAUGACACUUUUUACAUCCUGUUGUAGUUUGGGGAAGGAUGGACCAUGGAUGAUGGGAUUUACAGUACCUUCACCUGAUUCGGCUCCCACAGACCAUUGCGACCCCCACAAAUAACGGACCUGAACCAUACUUGGCACACAGAACCUCCAUGACACAUUUUACAUCCUGUUGUAGUUUGGGGAAGGAUGGACCAUGGAUGAUGGGAUUUACAGUACCUUCACCUGAUUCGGCUCCCACAGACCAUUGCGACCCCCACAAAUAACGGACCUGAACCAUAUUUGGCACACAGAACCUCCAUGACACAUUUUACAUCCUGUUGUAGUUUGGGGAAGGAUGGACCAUGGAUGAUGGGAUUUACAGUACCUUCACCUGAUUCGGCUCCCACAGACCAUUGCGACCCCCACAAAUAACGGACCUGAACCAUAUUUGGCACACAGAACCUCCAUGACACAUUUUACAUCCUGUUGUAGUUUGGGGAAGGAUGGACCAUGGAUGAUGGGAUUUACAGUACCUUCACCUGAUUCGGCUCCCACAGACCAUUGCGACCCCCACAAAUAACGGACCUGAACCAUAAUUGGCACACAGAACCUCCAUGACACAUUUUACAUCCUGUUGUAGUUUGGGGAAGGAUGGACCAUGGAUGAUGGGAUUUACAGUACCUUCACCUGACUCAUCUCCCACAGACCACUGUGACCCCCAUGAAUAACGGACCUGGACCAGACUUGGCACACAGAACCUCCAAGACACACUUUACAUCCUGGUGCAGUUUGGGGAAGGAUGGACCAAGGAUGAUGGGAUUUACAGUACCUUCACCCGAUUCGGCUCCCACAGACCAUUGCGACCCCCACGCGGACCUGAACCAUACUUGGCACACAGAAGCUCCAUGACACACUUUACAUCCUGUUGUAGUUUGGAGGAGGAUGGACCAUGGAUGAUGGGAUUUAUAGUACCUUCACCCAAUUCCGCUCCCACAGACCAUUGUGACCCCCACGAAUGACGGACCUGGACCAUACUUGGCACACAGAACCUCCAUGACACAUUUUACAUCCUGGAGCAGUUUAGGGAAGGAUGGACCAUGGAUGAUGGGAUUUACAGUACCUUCACCUGACUCAUCUCCCACAGACCACUGUGACCCCCAUGAAUAACGGACCUGGACCAUACUUGGCACACAGAACCUCCAAGACACACUUUACAUCCUGGUGCAGUUUGGGGAAGGAUGGACCAUGGAUAAUGGGAUUUAUAGUACCUUCACCCGAUUCGGCUCCCACAGACCAUUGCGACCCCCACGAAUGACGGACCUGGACCAUACUUGGCACACAGAACCUCCAUGACACACUUUACAUCCUGGUGCAGUUUGGGGAAGGAUGGACCAUGGAUGAUGGGAUUUAUAGUACCUUCACCUGACUCAUCUCCCACAGAUCAUUGCAACCCACACACAGACCUGGACCAUACUUGGCACACAGAACCUCCAUGACACACUUUACAUCCUGGAGCAGUUUGGGGAAGGAUGGACCAUGGAUGAUGGGAUUUAUAGUACCUUCACCCAAUUCCGCUCCCACAGACCAUUGUGACCCCCACGAAUGACGGACCUGAACCAUACUUGGCACACAGAACCUCCAAGACACACUUUACAUCCUGGUGCAGUUUGGGGAAGGAUGGACCAUGGAUGAUGGGAUUUACAGUACCUUCACCCGAUUCGGCUCCCACAGACCAUUGCGACCCCCACGAAUGACGGACCUGGACCAUACUUGGCACACAGAACCUCCAAGACACACUUUACAUCCUGGUGCAGUUUAGGGAAGGAUGGACCAAGGAUGAUGGGAUUUACAGUACCUUCACCCGAUUUGGCUCCCACAGACCAUUGCGACCCCCACGCGGACCUGAACCAUACUUGGCACACAGAAGCUCCAUGACACACUUUACAUCCUGUUGUAGUUUGGAGGAGGAUGGACCAUGGAUGAUGGGAUUUAUAGUACCUUCACCCAAUUCCGCUCCCACAGACCAUUGUGACCCCCACGAAUGACGGACCUGGACCAUACUUGGCACACAGAACCUCCAUGACACAUUUUACAUCCUGGAGCAGUUUAGGGAAGGAUGGACCAUGGAUGAUGGGAUUUACAGUACCUUCACCUGACUCAUCUCCCACAGACCACUGUGACCCCCAUGAAUAACGGACCUGGACCAUACUUGGCACACAGAACCUCCAUGACACACUUUACAUCCUGGUGCAGUUUGGGGAAGGAUGGACCAUGGAUGAUGGGAUUUAUAGUACCUUCACCCAAUUCCGCUCCCACAGACCAUUGUGACCCCCACGAAUGACGGACCUGGACCAUACUUGGCACACAGAACCUCCAUGACACAUUUUACAUCCUGGAGCAGUUUAGGGAAGGAUGGACCAUGGAUGAUGGGAUUUACAGUACCUUCACCUGACUCAUCUCCCACAGACCACUGUGACCCCCAUGAAUAACGGACCUGGACCAUACUUGGCACACAGAACCUCCAUGACACACUUUACAUCCUGGUGCAGUUUGGGGAAGGAUGGACCAUGGAUGAUGGGAUUUAUAGUACCUUCACCUGACUCAUCUCCCACAGAUCAUUGCAACCCACACACAGACCUGGACCAUACUUGGCACACAGAACCUCCAAGACACACUUUACAUCCUGGUGCAGUUUAGGGAAGGAUGGACCAAGGAUGAUGGGAUUUACAGUACCUUCACCCGAUUUGGCUCCCACAGACCAUUGCGACCCCCACGCGGACCUGAACCAUACUUGGCACACAGAAGCUCCAUGACACACUUUACACCCUGGUGCAGUUUGGAGGAGGAUGGACCAUGGAUGAUGGGAUUUAUAGUACCUUCACCCAAUUCCGCUCCCACAGACCAUUGUGACCCCCACGAAUGACGGACCUGAACCAUACUUGGCACACAGAACCUCCAAGACACACUUUACAUCCUGGUGCAGUUUGGGGAAGGAUGGACCAUGGAUGAUGGGAUUUAUAGUACCUUCACCUGAUUCGUCUCCCACAGAUCAUUGCAACCCACACACAGACCUGGACCAUACUUGGCACACAGAACCUCCAUGACACACUUUACAUCCUGGAGCAGUUUGGGGAAGGAUGGACCAUGGAUGAUGGGAUUUAUAGUACCUUCACCCGAUUCGGCUCCCACAGGCCACUGCGACCCCCACGAAUGACGGACCUGGACCAUACUUGGCACACAGAACCUCCAUGACACACUUUACAUCCUGAUGCAGUUUGGGGAAGGAUGGACCAAGGAUGAUGGGAUUUACAGUACCUUCACUUAAUUCGUCUCCCACAGACCAUUACGACCCCCACAUGGACCUGGACCAUACUUGGCACACAGAACCUCCAAGACACGCUUUACAUCCUGGUGCAGUUUAGGGAAGGAUGGACCAAGGAUGAUGGGAUUUACAGUACCUUCACCCGAUUCGGCUCCCACAGACCAUUGGGCCCCCCACAAAUGACGGACCUGGACCAUACUUGGCACACAGAACCUCCAUGACACAUUGUCUUGUUUUAUUUCUAAGAAGACAAGUUUGUUGAUCAAAUUCUGCAAAAUUAAGUAGUUUGGACAGCCAUUUAUUAAGAAAUGGCCCAAUUAUUUAAAUUCAAUUCAGAAUGUGGGCCAUUUGUCAAACCUUCUGGGCCAGCAUUUCCUCCUUUCUUUCCUUCCUUCCUUCCUUCCUUCCUUCCUUCCUUCCUUCCUUCCUUCCUUCUUUCUUUCUUUUUUCCUCUUUCCUUUCCUUUCUUUUUUGCUUACAAAACACAUCCUCUCUAUAUAUAGAAAGCCGGCUGGAUAUAAAUAAACCUAUAUCAUAGCUUAUGGGA